UACGAAGGGGACUAGCGUUGUUCGGAAUUACUGGGCGUAAAGCGCACGUAGGCGGAUUUGUUAGUCAGGGGUGAAAUCCCGGGGCUCAACCUCGGAACUGCCUUUGAUACUGCAAGUCUCGAGUCCGAUAGAGGUGGGUGGAAUUCCUAGUGUAGAGGUGAAAUUCGUAGAUAUUAGGAAGAACACCGGUGGCGAAGGCGGCCCACUGGAUCGGUACUGACGCUGAGGCACGAAAGCGUGGGGAGCAAACAGG
rnacentral:rRNA from 1 species